CGGUGGUGUAUGGAGUUAAAUCCAGCUGGUGACCGAUCACAAGUGGUGUUCCCCAGGGGUCGGUGCUGGGGCCUGUCCUCUUUAAUGUCUUUAUUGAUGACCUUGAUGAGGGUAUUGAGUGCACCCUCAGUAAGUUUGCAGAUGACACUAAGCUGGCUGGAAGUGUUGAUCUGCCUGAGGGUAGCGAGGCCUUACAGAGGGAUCUGGAUAGGUUGGAUAGCUGGGCUGAAGCCAAUGGGAUGGGAUUCAACAAGACCAAAUGCCGGAUCCUGCACUUUGGCCGCAAUAACCCCAGGCAACGCUACAGGCUUGGGGCAGAGUGGCUGGAAGACUGUGGAGAGGAAAUGGACCUGGGGGUGUUUGACACUAGACUGAACAUGAGCCAGCAGUGUGCCCAGGUGGCCAAGAAGGCCAAUGGCAUCCUGGCUUGUAUCAGAAAUAGUGUGGCCAGCAGGAACAGGGAAGUAAUUAUUCCCCUGUACUCAGCACUGGUGAGGCCGCACCUUGAGUACUGUGUCCAGUUUUGGGCCCCUCACUGUAAGAAAGACGUCGAGGCCCUGGAGUGUGUCCAGAGAAAGGCAACAAAGCUGGUGAGGGGUCUGGAGCACAGGUUUUAUGAAGAGCGGCUGAAAGAGCUGGGGUUGUUCAGUCUAGAGAAGAGGAGGCUCAGGGGAGACGUUAUUGCUCUCUAUAACUACCUGAAGGGAGGUUGUAGUGAGCUGGGGGUCAGCCUCUUCUCUCGUGUGACUAGUGACAGGACUGGAGGGAAUGGCUUCAAGCUGCGUCAGGGAAAAUGCAGGCUGGACAUUAGGAAAUACUACUUCUGUGAAAGGGUGGUCAGGCACUGGAAUGGGCUGCCCAGAGAGGUGGUGGAGUCACCGACCCUGGUGGUGUUUAAAGAGCGUUUGGAUGUUGUGUUGAGGGACAUGGUUUAGCGAGAAGCAUUGAUGAAGGGCAAAUGGUUGGACUGGAUGAUCCUGUGGGUCUUUUCCAACCUUAGCGAUUCUAUGAUUCUGUGAUCCUAAGGAUAUUAAUUUAAAACAUUCACUAAUUUAUAUGCUGCUUAUGCAUAACUCGAUGAUGAUUUAUAGCAUCACUUGCUGUUUUUUGCCUAU
rnacentral:lncRNA from 1 species